rnacentral:rRNA from 1 species
UAUUUGAAUGUUCUAGCUCAGGACGAACGCUGGCGGCGUGCCUAAUAAAGCAAGUCGAGCGGACAGAAGGGAGCUUGCUCCCGGAUGUUAGCGGCGGACGGGUGAGUAACACGUGGGUAACCUGCCUGUAAGACUGGGAUAACUCCGGGAAACCGGAGCUAAUACCGGAUAGUUCCUUGAACCGCAUGGUUCAAGGAUGAAAGACGGUUUCGGCUGUCACUUACAGAUGGACCCGCGGCGCAUUAGCUAGUUGGUGAGGUAACGGCUCACCAAGGCGACGAUGCGUAGCCGACCUGAGAGGGUGAUCGGCCACACUGGGACUGAGACACGGCCCAGACUCCUACGGGAGGCAGCAUUUUUUGUAUCUUCCGCAAUGGACGAAAGUCUGACGGAGCAACGCCGCGUGAGUGAUGAAGGUUUUCGGAUCGUAAAGCUCUGUUGUUAGGGAAGAACAAGUGCAAGAGUAACUGCUUGCACCUUGACGGUACCUAACCAGAAAGCCACGGCUAACUACGUGCCAGCAGCCGCGGUAAUACGUAGGUGGCAAGCGUUGUCCGGAAUUAUUGGGCGUAAAGGGCUCGCAGGCGGUUUCUUAAGUCUGAUGUGAAAGCCCCCGGCUCAACCGGGGAGGGUCAUUGGAAACUGGGAAACUUGAGUGCAGAAGAGGAGAGUGGAAUUCCACGUGUAGCGGUGAAAUGCGUAGAGAUGUGGAGGAACACCAGUGGCGAAGGCGAC